GGGCGCUUGGCUCAGUUGGUUAGAGCGUCUCGUUUACACCGAGAAGGUCGGGGGUUCGACUCCCUCAGCGCCCACCA
rnacentral:tRNA from 3 species